CCCCCCCCCUCGAGCCGCCGCGCCUGACGACCCGCGUGGCCACGCCCGCGCUCCCGACGACCCGCGCCGAGGUGCCGUCGCGGGGUGCGCGCGGUUCAGAACUACAACUCGAUCCCGAAGCAGGAGCCCUUCCGCUCGAGCCGCAGCAUCCUCGACGAGUUCCUCAGGUAGGAGAAGCCCCUCAUCCAGCGGACCAAAGAUCAGAUCACAGGCACGCUGCUGGGCUGCUAUGUGCUUCUCCGCUUUGCGCCAUAUGUUGUUUUCUGAAUUUUUAAUGCGUGCGCUGAGCAGUCCUGCCAAGGUUAACUGGCUAAAGUCAGCUCUAGCUUAGUUUUUGGUUUAGCUCUGAUUUGACUACGGCUCUGAGAGCGGUGAAUAUUUAUACGAGUGUGAUGCAGCACUUUGUUUUUGGAGUUGCAUGCUGUAGAAUAUUUAUAGGAGUUCAUUGUUACGAUUAGCUAUGUUUUACCAGCACAAAUCGAUUAUGCAUCAUAUUCCCUAUCACUAUCUCUAGCUUAACUGACAUGUUUAAUAAGGAAGGGAAAUUACUGUAAUAAUUACCAAACGAUAUGCGCAUAGGUAUUGAAAGAGUAUUUUUAGCAUUGAGUCUAGUGAAUAAUAAGUUGAGAAAUAGCAUGGACGAUGAGUUAUUGAACGAUUGUUUAGUCAUAUUUAUUGAGCGUGAUAUUUUCUGCUAGUUAAGUGAGAAUGAUAUAAUCGAGAUUUUCAUGGCCAUGAGAAAACGUAAAGUAGAGUUCUAGAGUAAAUAUUGUAAUCUUAUAUCUAUGUAAGACUUUAUUUCAUAUUUGGACUAUUUGUAUUGUACUUUUUGCAAAUUUCAAACUUAUUUGUUGAAUUUGCAAUGUUGAGAACUUUUAAUAUUAUUAGAUUAUAAUUUUAGCAAAUUUUAUACCGUGCACAUCCAACGAUCAAAUCCUGGCUCUGCCACUGUUUGUACGAGGAUGAACGGACGUGCUAUACCAAAAGGUAUUGCCUGAGCAGUGGGCGAUACCUUUUGCUGGACCCGCUAUUACAAGAUCUCGCCCGCUGAACGGGUGACACGUGACCUGAUUGCAUUUUUUGUAUUUUUUAAUUUUCUAACCAGUGGGUCCCACAAGGGGUGAUACCUUGCUCUCGUCCGAUGGACGGGUGAUGAUAGCCUAUUCUUGUAAUUUGUUGAAACGACCGUGUAAUAUUGCAAAUAUUUAAAAAAUAUAUAUAAAUAAAAAAAUCUGCGAAGCAGGCCAUUGGGUGGACUUGUAUCCUAGAGUUACAGGCAGACGGACACAGCUCCCGCUUGGGCUGGGCUAGGCCUUGCCCGCCACACGAGCUCCUCGUUUUCUCUCUCUUCCUGUUCCCAUAGCGGCGGCGCGGCACGGCGUGGCGAGGCAAACCAAUUGAGGCCUCCACCCAGGAGGGUUGCCCUAUCCUUCCGAGCACCACGCGACACCACUUAUCCUCGUUGUCCCGUCGAUAAGAGAGCCCCAGCUUGCUCGGAUGCAUUGCUUGCUCUUUUUGUGACACUUUUUCUGUGCCGGGAGCCCUCAAAUCCAAAUUCUCUUUUUCUGGGGGAUACUCUAAUCCACUCUAGUUUGCCGUGGAUUCGUUCACUGCAUAGCAUGGUACUAUUGUGCUAAUCGGUUGUUGCAGACUUGCAGUAUUGUUGCCUCAGUCUUGCUAGACCGAGGCUUCUCUGAUCAUAUGCGCUCCUGAUUACGUUUUUCCUUCAUUGUGUUGAUUACAGGGGAAGCGCACACUCACAAUAAGGGAUUUUUUUUUUAUUUCAAUGCAAUUCCUUGAUCUGUGCACUUGCAGAUUAAAGUGAUGCUGUGAGCUGUACAUUUGCAGAUCAGCUUGAUGUUGUGACCAUGUGGUUGCCUCAAUGGCGUUAAAGUUUCUGUCUUGCACCCGGGUUGCAAGAACACACCCGCUAUUGGGCAAACUUAUGUACCAUCCUUGCUCAAAUGUGCCCGCUGCUCGUCCUUGUGGUGCUGGAGGGAGUUCCUUUGAGUUUGACUCUGCGGUCCAGUCACUCAAGAACAAUCUUCAACCAGAGAGGCUAACCCGUGUUCUUGAUUCUACUUCCGAUUCAAGCUUGGCCCUUAGGAUCUUCAAAUGGGCUUCACAUCAGAGAUAUAACGUUCACACGGUUGGCAUGUACAGCUGCAUGAUCUCCAAGCUUGGUGUUUCUGGAAAUCGUGAUGAGAUGGAUAGCCUCCUCAGGGAGAUGGUCAGAUUUCAGGUCCCAGCACUGGAACAAGCCCUGAAUGAUUUAGUUCAGUCCCUGAGUGAUAAGAACCUCCUUGAUGAAGCAUUGCUGGUGAUCCAGCAUGCUAGUUCUGCGAAGCUCAAGCUGUCAAUCUCAGCUUGGAAUGGUGUGCUGCAUGGUUUGGUCAAGCAAGGGAGGGGCUUGCGGUUGUUCAUGCUUACGUACAUGGACAUUAUGAAGGCUGGAGUUCUUCCUGAUGUGGAAACAUUGAAUUGUUUAAUUGAGGUCUUGUGUGAAUCUGGCCGUUUAGAAUUGGCGUUGAUUCAGUUUAAUAGGAUGAGCAAGAAGAGGUGUGCUCCUAACAAUUAUACUUUCGAGAUACUCAUCACGGCUCUUUGUUCCCACAACAGAGCAGAUGAAGCGGUGAUACUCUUUGACAAGAUGCUGCAACUAAGAUGCACCCCUGAUAGCAAUUUUUAUGCUCAAGUGAUACCCCUAUUUUGCAAGUUCAGUAAAGUCAAUGAGGCGAUUAAGCUGCAUCAAAUGAUGAAAGAAGAUGGCCUUCAGUUGGAUCUACAGCUGUACAGUGCCUUGAUUAGAUGUUUAUGUGAGAAUCAACUAUUGGAUGACACGAACUUGAUGUUUCAAGAAAUGAUAGCAUCAGGUCAUUCUCCAAUGACAAGUACAUAUGUGGAUAUAGUGGAUUGCUACUGUAAAUCGGCCAAGUUCCAUGAAGCUGUGAGCUUUCUAGAGGAAAACGAUGUCACUGAAUCAGGACCGUAUAAUGGGCUGCUCAAAUGGUUGUGUAAAAAUGGCAGACUGCUGGAUUCAGUAAGCUAUCUUGAGAAAUUUCAGAGCAGAGGUUUGGUUGAUUGUCACUCAUGGAACAUUGUUAUAACUCACUUCUGUAAUGAAGGACACAUUACAAGAGCAUCUGAGCUCAUUGGUCGAAUGGUUGUUUCUUCAUUUACACCAGAUGAGAGUACCUAUUCUGCUGUUAUAUCUUGUUACUGUGGAUUAGGCUUGUAUAUAGAUGCCUUAGGUAUGUUCAGAAGGGUCAGUGUUAGCAACUUGUCCAUGAAUUCGGAAUCUUUUUCGCAACUUGUAAAGGUUCUUUGUCGCAUGAAGAGGAUCCAAGAAGCUACUGAGGUUUUUAAAUAUCACUGUAAAAGAGGUUGCAGUCUUACAAGCGAGUCACUUGAUAUGCUGAUUCAAGGGAGUUGUAUGGCUGGAAAGAUUCAUGAAGCAAUCAAAUUGCGUUCAUUAGCUGUUUUCACCGGCACUUCUUGUACAUUCUCUACUUAUGACAUAAUUAUCCAAGCACUGCUCCAAUUGAAGGAGGAGAAAUAUUUAUUGGUUCUGUUUGCACAAAUGCUGAUGGAAGGUUGUCUAUUGGAUGGGUACACAUACAAUAUUCUGUUGCGCUCUUUCCUUGCCAAGGAGACAAUUUUUGAGUCUGCUAUCUUGUUCAACAGAAUGGUGAAUCAUGGGUUUGUGCCUGACCAAGAGACAUUUGAACUAUUAGUCAAUGAUAUGGCCUUCUUUUCUUUUCUUAACAUGGUUGCACAAAAUUUACUGAAAGUGGUAAAGACAAGUGGAACGAUGAGCCCCAGAACAUAUAACAUUAUUAUUUAUGGCCUUAUUAAAGAAGGCUUCAAGAGUGAGGCAUGCAAGUUUCUAGAUCAAAUGCUAGAAAAGGGGUGGGUACCUGAUUCAAGGACACAUCGUGUCUUAGUCGGCAGAAUUGGUGGAGAGGAUGCUGGAGAACUUGGUGAAGUCUACCAGACAGGGGAUGAUGACAAUGUGAGCAACAUAUUGUUGGAGGGGCUAGAUUGAGAGUAUGAAACAGGCUUUUUAAAAUUUAAUUGUUGUACUAUGACAAGGAAAGGGAUGCCAGUGCUGACAUUUUGAGCUCCAUAUUUUGUACAAUGUUUGAAGAAACAUUGUUUUCAGGCAUGAUAUCAGUUGCGACUGAGCAGAUACAAAAAAUAGGCUGAACAAGAAAAACAUAAGAUUGUGCGAGGAUCAGGAAAAUGAAGAGUGCCAUUGUUUACCUGUCCCAUAAAUUGAAAUCUCUAAGUUCUGACUUUUGUAGCCUCCAGCUGAAGCAAGGUGUUAUCUUUUCAGUACCUAUCCAGAUCAAGACGAGAUACCCAGUUUCCCCGAUGAUCGCAGAGCCACCCAAUGCUCUGCUCCUCCUUGAUGUGAAAUAUUUGGAUUAGAAACCCAAGACGAGGCCAUGCCUCUCCAAAAUUUGGAUCUGCGAAAUUCCUACUUUCAAAUAGGGUCUUCUCUUUCUUUUUUUCUUUUGGAGCGGAAAUAGGGCUGAGGUUCGAUUUGUGGCUGGUUGGGAUGGGUUUGGGCUUAGUAGCGCGGAUUUGAGCUCAAAACGGCUUCGCGAAGUGCAAGUUGCUCUGUGAUUUGUGGUCACGAUUUGUGGUCACGGAGGUCUAGGGUAGCUGGGGCCGGGCGGUAUGGAGGCAGAUGGCCAAGGGGAUGGUAGUGGGAGUGCAGGAGGGGUGACCGACGGUUGGAGGAUGGUGUGAGUGACACGCUAUAUAUGGGGUGUGGAAGGAGCUGAAUUAUGUGUCAAAAUGGCGUGAAGAAUGAAGAUCAUAUUUUACUCGUUUU